rnacentral:tRNA from 1 species
ACUAAUUUGGCAGAUAAGUGCAUCAGAUUUAGAAUCUUAUAAUGUAAUAAAAUUACAAUUAGU